GGGCCACGCCAUGGCCUGUAGGAGGGCAUCAAUGACCGCUAGGGGGGGCACGGCCCUCGAAUGCCCCACCACAGCGCCGGCACUGAAGAGAUUGCAGAAAGUUUGGCGUUUCUCUGUUUUCUAAGUCGCAGCAGACACAGAGAGUUGCGAUGUUUGUGGAGUAGCGGGAGUCCAGGCAGAGCCCAAUGGCAGCGCCGGAGCUGUACUCGAAGUUUGCUCGAAUCUGGAUCCCAGACACCACAGAGGUGUGGAGAUCAGCAGCGCUCACCAAAGACUACAGGCCCGGAGACACUGUCCUACAUCUACAGCUGGACGAUGAGACUGAGUCUGAGUACAAGUUGGACCCAAAGAGUGGUGUUCUGCCUCCUCUUCGUAACCCGGACAUCUUGGUGGGUGAGAACGACCUCACCGCUCUCAGUUACCUCCAUGAACCGGCCGUCCUGCACAACCUCCGGGUCCGAUUCACAGACUCCAAACUCAUCUACACCUACUGCGGUAAUCAAAAUGUUCUUCGUGACAUUGCUUAUUAGAUAUAUUAAAAUCAAAGAUCAGACUUUUCUAUUCACUUCAGUGUCAAUAUGAAAGCAGCAUGUCUGAGUCUGUUCAAUCUGUAGUCUGUUAGUUUCAUAUAUUUUUUUAAAUUCUUUUUUUAUUUAAUUGAAAUUUCUAAUGUUAUUUAAUUCAGAUUAAUUUAUUUUUAAUUUUUCAAUAUUUCACUUGUUAUUUUAUUUGAUUAUUAUUAUUAUUUUAUUUCUGAGCAUUGACCUGCAUUGAUUUUCUAUUCAGUGCUAUUAUGAAAGCAGUAUGUCUAAGGCUAGUCUGUUUAUUUUUUUAUAUAUAUUUUCUGUUAGUUUCAUUUUUAACUUGUUUUUAUUUAAUUUAAAUGUAAGUUACUUAAUAAAUAAAUUGCAUAUUUUAUUUUAUUUUAUUUCAUUUUCUAUUUUAUUUUAUUUUAUUUUAUUUUGUUUUAUUUUAUUUUUUAUUUUAUUUUAUUUUAUUUUUUAUUUUAUUUUAUUUUAUUUUAUUUUAUUUUAUUUUAUUUUAUUUUAUUUUAUUAUUUUAUUUUAUUUUAUUUUAGAGCAUUGACCUGUAGACUUUGGAACUCUCAUGUGCAGCAGAUAUUGCGAGCAGAGUCGGCGUCAGAGCAGAUCUACUGGAGGGGCAUUGGAUCAUCGGCGGGGGGGCACUGUCGUUUGAUAAAUAUUUUUUUGACGCAUUGGCAACAUCAUAGUAGCAUGGAAAUCCAGACCUAAAUCUGAAAGAUCUAUAUAGAAUGACAAUGAAAGAUUUAAGGCCCGUUCACACAAAGAACGAUGACUAUAAAGAUAACGAUAUUAGCGUCCACACCAGCGAACGAUAUCUUCUGUUUAUUCUAAGCGCACGCUCGUCUGGCGCUUUAAAUUCUCGAGCGCGUUACAACAGGAUGGAUUCUGAUUGGCUGUCAAUUUUUUAUCGUUCAUCAGCUAUCGUUUUUCUUUGUCUUUAUCGUUAUAGUUGUGGUGUGGACGCUGCUGUUCUUUAAUACUGAAAACGAUUUUUUAGAACUAUAUCUUUAUCGUUAUCUUUUAUAGUUAUCGUCCUUGGUAGUGAAACGGGCCUUUUAGACUUUGGGUUUUAAUCUAAAAGAGGAACAGAAGACAGCGCUGAAAUUUGCUGUUUUGCCGACCGGAUACGGUUCCAAUGAUCUAUAUAGAAUGACAUUCUACCCUAUAAUGUUAGCUCCAAUGAUCUAUCUAUAUAGAAUGUCAUUUAUAUAAUUUUUUUAAAAAAUUUUUUUUAUACCUGUCUUGAUUCCUAAUACACAACAGAUGACGAUUGUUAGGUUAAACGUUCAGAAUACGAUUCAAUAUAAGGUUAGUAUAGCAGUUCAGCACGUCAGCGAAUGGACAGCGACUCAAUUCUCGCGUUACAUUUUUGGGAAAAUGUACAUUUUUGGGAAACGCGCGAGGAAUUGCGGCUAACGUUUAUAACCUUGCACGUAGAGAGCGCUUUUAAGAGCUAAGAUAGGCUAGGCUACAUCGAGGGAAACCCGGCCCAGAACAGAUAGCCUAAACAACAGAACAGGACAGAAAAUAAUAAUAUAAAUAUAAUAUAGGCUAAAUAAAAAACAUAAAAUUGGCCUACAAUGAAUAGCUAUAUAUUUUUUAUACUUAAAUAAUUUACAAAUUACGACGACAAAAAUAAAACACUGAAUCAGUUUGAAGCUUUGAAAAACCGGCAAAAAAAAUGUCCCCAUCAGACAAAGUGUUUUCGUAUAGAUGUUUCUGAAAACUUAAGGCUUUUUUUCUUAAUAAAACGAGUUGGACAUCAUCACACAAAUGUCUGCGUAUGGACCAACAGAAGACUAAAAUUCGCCUGCAGAGAAUAAGGAUGUCACAACAAUAAUGAGCCACUCACACAGGGUAUAAGGUUUAACUUGAUUUUGUAGUUUUUGAUUUGCGUAGAAUGCAAAUUCUGUAGAACUUGAGAAAUAGAUAAAAGAAAAUAAAAUACAGGAAAUGGAAAAAAUAAAAUACAGAAAAUACAAAGUGUGCUUCAACAAAUAAAAUAAUUUCUUUAAACACCGUUUUUUCUUAGGGUUUCAAGGACUUUAAAUACUCUAAAGGACUCAUUUUCUAAACAAAAUAAAUAAAGGACAAAAAUAAAUGUAUUUUCUGCUAUUACUUUAUGCUAAUACUUGGUUUUAACCUGGGUUACACACCUCCCAACAGUUUAUGCACGCACCAAGCAGAAAUGACAUAAGCCCGUAUAUCUUUACAGACAGCCAAGUAUAAAACACAAAUGCAGUUAGAACCCACAAACAUUCAUCAACAAUUCACCUGCCUUUUUUUUAUUUUUAUAAUUAGCUGCUAACAACUGUCUAUAAUAUAGACGGACAAACUGUUCUUCAACUUGAAAUGGAUUUUGCGCGCGCGCUGCAAAUCAAAUGUAACAAGUUUACUCGGCGACCAAUAAGCAUUCACCAUGACGAAGCCUAGUAACGUGCCAUGAGCAACCAAAAUUAUGCAUUUUCCCCAUUCUUUUUAUUUUAUUUACUUUAAGUUACAGUUUGAACAUUUAAUAUUAAAAUAAUAACUAAAAGGGAUUUUUUUUUUGGGCCACGCCAUGGCCUGUAGGAGGGGCAUCAAUGACCGCUAGGGGGGGCACGGCCCUCGAAUGCCCCACCACAGCGCCGGCACUGGA
rnacentral:lncRNA from 1 species